GUUUCUAAGAAGUCGGUCUACUGGGCAGCAAAUAAGAAGAGGUCCUACAACACAGGGAUCAGGACCCCAGCCAAAUCUAGGAUCUUUUGGAAGCUAGGAAUGUCAGAAGUCCAGCACUGCUCUUCUGGGUUCCCUGCUCAGGUUUUCACCACACAGAAAUCAAGGUGUCUGUUGGAUGGGCUCUUAUUUGGAGGCUCUUAAGAUCAUCCCAGGAGAGGAGAAAGGUCAUGCGAAGAAUGACUAUCGAUGCUGACAGUCUGAAGGCUGAGAGGCAGAAGGAGCCUGUUAACUAGAGUGUCCACAGAGACAAGGUCGCAUGAAAGCAGCAAUCCUUCAACCCUCACUUGUUUAUCAAAUGUUCUCUGAUUAGUUUGUAGAGCUGGUUAUAAAACAAGGUUAACUGUUCUCUUUAUUUAUAUUAAUGGCUAUAGUGAAAAACAUUAUAUAAAAUCUUUGUAGAUUUUCAGUUGAGAUAUAAAUCCUGAAGGAGUAGCAACCCAGAUUAAAAGGGAAAAUGCUACUAAUUUUGUUUUACAGAUGCAGGUCCAAUCCUAUUAUUGUAAAUACCAACCAGUUGAAGAAAAUCUGUCUAAUUAAAAGAUUCCCAGGGUUCAGCUGCUGACCUACUUAUUUUAAGACGAUUCAAUAUAAUUAAU